GAUGAACGCUGGCGGCAUGCCUUACACAUGCAAGUCGAACGGUAACAGGGAGCUUGCUCCGCUGACGAGUGGCGAACGGGUGAGUAAUGUAUCGGAACGUACCAUUCAGUGGGGGAUAACGUAGCGAAAGUUACGCUAAUACCGCAUAUUCUGUGAGCAGGAAAGCAGGGGAUCGCAAGACCUUGCGCUGAUUGAGCGGCCGAUAUCAGAUUAGCUAGUUGGUGAGGUAAAGGCUCACCAAGGCGACGAUCUGUAGCGGGUCUGAGAGGAUGAUCCGCCACACUGGAACUGAGACACGGUCCAGACUCCUACGGGAGGCAGCAGUGGGGAAUUUUGGACAAUGGGGGCAACCCUGAUCCAGCCAUGCCGCGUGAGUGAAGAAGGCCUUCGGGUUGUUAAGACUCUUUCGGCCGGGAAGAAAGUCGCAUGGGCUAAUACCCUGUGCGGAUGACGGUACCGGCAUAAGAAGACACCGGCUAACUACGU
rnacentral:rRNA from 1 species